UGGACCCUAGUGUAGACGGGAUCUCACGGAGGGACCUUCUCCACGGACUAUAUGAAGGGAGGGGAGGGGGAGGGGGAGGGGGCUGCUUACUUUACUCCCAGCUUGCAGAACACACAGAUCACUUCUAUGAUUGAUGAGGGAUAUGUGAGUGAAUUUGCCAAACACUGAACAAAGAAAUCUACUGCAUCCUCCGAGAGAAGAACUUUAAUGGCUUCCAGGUAGAGAGAAAGAGGCAGCAGUCAAGAUGAACUCGAUUCCUUCGAUGGAUAGGCACAUACAGCAGACCAAUGACAGGCUGCUGUGCAUCAAACAGCACUUACAGAAUCCGGCCAAUUUCCAGACAGCGGCCACAGAACUGCUGGACUGGUGCGGAGACCCACGAGCCUUCCAGCGGCCAUUCGAGCAAAGCCUUAUGGGAUGCUU